CACCGGCACCUGGGCCCAGCUCCGGGAAGCACCACUUCGACGGCCACAGCCAGGUCAAGGACUUUAUCCAGACGCUGCUCCUAUACGGCGGCUACAACGAGCUCGCCGACAUCCUUGUCAACCUCACCUCGCUCGCCACCGAGAUGGGCCGCCUCGUCUCCGAGGGCUACGUGCUCACCGUCCUCGCCCCCAACGACGAGGCCAUGGCGCGCCUCACCACGGACCAGCUAAGCGAGCCUGGCUCGCCGGAGAACAUCCUCUACUACCACAUGGUCCCCGAGUACCAGACCGAGGAGUCCAUGUACAACGCCGUGCGGCGGUUCGGCAAGGUGCGCUACGACACGCUCCGGCUGCCGCACAAGGUGACCGCGCGGGAGGCCGACGGCUCCGUCAAGUUCGGCCAGGGCGAGGGCUCCGCCUACCUCUUCGACCC
rnacentral:lncRNA from 1 species